rnacentral:rRNA from 1 species
UACGUAGGGUGCGAGCGUUGUCCGGAAUUAUUGGGCGUAAAGAGCUCGUAGGCGGUGUGUCACGUCGGCCGUGAAAACCUGCAGCUUAACUGUGGGCGUGCGGUCGAUACGGGCAUCACUGGAGUUCGGCAGGGGAGACUGGAAUUCCUGGUGUAGCGGUGAAAUGCGCAGAUAUCAGGAGGAACACCGGUGGCGAAGGCGGGUCUCUGGACCACAUCUGACGCUGAGGCGCGAAAGCUAGGGGAGCAAACAGG